AAACAAAUGUUUUCAAGUAAAGUAUUUGUUCACACAGUUAUGAAUGGUUUGUUCAUCGUAAACAAGCCUAUUAGUUAAUGGUUUGUUCAUCAUUAUUAAUUUAUUGUUCUUACAUAAUUCAUCAUCAGUAAAGCAUUUGUUCACAUAGUUAUAAAUGGUUUGUUCAUAGUAAAUAGGCCUAUCUUGAAAAAUAUGUUUGUAAGUACAUGAUUUAUACUUAAUAAAUAAUGAAACAACCAUUUAUAAAUGAAAUAAUUUUCCCAUUAUAAAACAAGUUGCUAACUAUUGCUAAAUGCUUUGUUCAUCAUUUGUAAAGCAUUGCUCCUAUGCUAAUUCUCAUAAAUAAAGCAUUUGUAUACACACUCAUAAAUGGUUUGUUCAUAGUAAAUAAAGCUCUCAAUAAUGAUGUUUAUAAAUAGAAGUUUGACACUU